rnacentral:rRNA from 1 species
UGUUGGGUUAAGUCCCGCAACGAGCGCAACCCUCGUUCCAUGUUGCCAGCACGUAGUGGUGGGGACUCAUGGGAGACUGCCGGGGUCAACUCGGAGGAAGGUGGGGACGACGUCAAAUCAUCAUGCCCCUUAUGUCUUGGGCUUCACGCAUGCUACAAUGGCCGGUACAAUGGGUUGCGAUACUGUGAGGUGGAGCUAAUCCCAAAAAGCCGGUCUCAGUUCGGAUUGGGGUCUGCAACUCGACCUCAUGAAGUCGGAGUCGCUAGUAAUCGCAGAUCAGCAACGCUGCGGUGAAUACGUUCCCGGGCCUUGUACACACCGCCCGUCAAGUCAUGAAAGUCGGUAACACCCGAAGCCAGUGGCCCAACCGCAAGGA